rnacentral:rRNA from 1 species
AUGCCACUGCUGCAGCUGCCGACCGCGUGUGGCGCCGCUGCGGCGUCGUCGGCGUCGGGCCCCUUCUCGCUCUCGCGGCCGCCGCCCUCCCGGCUGCGCGCGUCGCACGUCCUCUUCGCCUUCCCUCGCCUGAGGAAAUACGGCCGCCGGAGCCGCGAGCCGGUACCCACCACCCUCGACGACGACGACGAGGAGGCGGAUGACGACGACGACGUGGAGGAGGCGGUUGACGAGGACAUCUUUCUCAAGAACCGGCCCAAGCCGGCCGGUUUCGGCGUGGGGAAGACCUACACCACCGAUGUCGAAGAGCAGCUUCUCCGGGAGAUGGGCAUCGGCGGCGCCGGGCGCAAGAGCAACUCGGCUCCGCCCAAGAGCGUCAAAACCAACGGCUCGGCCACAGAAACCGGCGCAGAUCGCAGUAAUGAUGGCGUUCAUGUUCGUAUUUGGAACCUCCCGAAAAAGAAGAACAUACAUAAGGACCUGAACCUAGCUUUCAAAGGGUUUCCUGGCCUGGUAACUAUAAACCCAGCAAAUUCUGGAACUAAGAAGACCCGUGAUCCUAUUUGUAAGGGUUUUGCAUUUGUCAAACUGGAGUCAGUGGACGCUGCGACGAGGUUCGUUGAACUGUACUCUCGUAAAGCUGUGUCGUUCGGCAAGGUUGAGAAGCCAAUCAAGUGCUGUAUUGUUGAAGGGCACGUCUCUACGGAUCCUUCAGGUCCAGCAUCCAGCAGUCAGCCACCAGGGUUGAACCCCCAACGGUUGGUAGCCGUAAGAUGA